CAGCCGCCGCGGGAAUACGUAGGGUGCGAGCGUUAAUCGGAAUUACUGGGCGUAAAGCGUGCGCAGGCGGUUGUGUAAGACAGGUGUGAAAUCCCCGGGCUUAACCUGGGAACUGCGCUUGUGACUGCACAGCUAGAGUAUGGCAGAGGGGGGUGGAAUUCCACGUGUAGCAGUGAAAUGCGUAGAGAUGUGGAGGAACACCGAUGGCGAAGGCAGCCCCCUGGGCCAAUACUGGCGCUCAUGCACGAAAGCGUGGGGAGCAAACAGGAUUAGAUACCCCUGUAGUCCCUGUCUCUUAUAC
rnacentral:rRNA from 1 species